ACCCAGAUGACGAGCCCAAAAUAGGACGAAGUGCGCGUCCUAUAU
rnacentral:hammerhead_ribozyme from 1 species